rnacentral:rRNA from 1 species
UACGAAGGGGGGCUAGCGUUGCUCGGAAUCACUGGGCGUAAAGCGCACGUAGGCGGGUCUUUAAGUCAGGGGUGAAAUCCUGGAGCUCAACUCCAGAACUGCCUUUGAUACUGAAGAUCUUGAGUUCGGGAGAGGUGAGUGGAACUGCGAGUGUAGAGGUGAAAAUUCGUAGAUAUUCGCAAGAACACCAGUGGCGAAGGCGGCUCACUGGCCCGAUACUGACGCUGAGGCACGAAAGCCAGGGGAGCAAACGGGAGU